rnacentral:lncRNA from 1 species
UUCAGAAUCAACCCAAUCACCACACAUCUUCCCAUGGCCGCGGUCCUCAUGGUGCUUUUCCCUUACCACGGUCCAUUUCUGGUCCUGGAUCCAACCCAAACAAACACACAAUCACAAGGUUAGAUUACAAAACAAGAAUCAAAUCACAUUGCAUGGUCGGAUCCAAUCUAGUCAAGAACAAUCAUCAAAAAUGUCAAAUCUGACCCCUCUAAAAAGAGAUCCAAAUACCAAAUAAAAUUCAUGAAAACUCAUGAUAAUUCAGAAGAAAAUAUUCCCAUAAUCAGAUUCAAAAGAAUCGGCUCAGAUCAUAGUGAUCUCGGCCAUGAACAGCCCACACAAGAACAAGGGACUUUCAUGGGAAUUUGAUCAGGCCAAGGCCUUAGGAUCAAUGAAUCCUUUCCUGUAACAUCAUAAAACAUUCCAUAGCACAACAUAUAUGAGGAAACAGAGUAGAAGAAGUCAGAGUAAGGAGUGGCCAAUCGAUCCAAACCGGCCAGGCUCACACGGCCAUCAUCCGCGGCCUUGUCCGGUUACUCUUGGCCACACCUCUCACCUUAGGAGUUCGGUCUCCAGGAGCGACUUCCUUCUCUUUCUCCUUUGCCUUCUCCUUGUCUUUCUGCCUCAAAUCCAUCCUCUUCAUCAAACGCCCAAACACACCAGGAACACUCAAGAACAAUCUCUUGGAUCAAAUCGGCCGAUCCAAAGUUUCUGUCUCUCUUUCUCUCUUGAAUUUUCUCUGUGUUUCUGUCUGUGUGGAAUGAGUAAAAACCGACCAGAAUGAUCAGAAAUGAGAGAGAGAGGACGAUUUAAACUGUCCCCAACCGCCUGGGCGAACAGUUACCAAAAUCACAUCCCUUCUUCCCAAAACCGUCCCAUAACCGUCCCAUGACCGCCCCUUGGCGGUUUCUCCCCUUUUCUUCCUUUGGCAAAUCGAUCACUGAGCCUCAGCUCACACUCUGGGAGCUUGCCCGAUCCCUGUCCCAAGCCUAAGACCCAUUUGGUUGAACCGUCCUGCACCAGGACCAUCGGCUCGCCCAGUAACCGUCCCGGACUCGCCCACACUGAUCCGAACCAGAACGCACCGUUCACUGGAUUGAGCUGACCUCCAGCUGUUCCCAGCUGAGUGAGCUAGCCCACCAGCUCCUGUGAGCUGAACAGAUCAUGGUGAACUGAAUACCAGCUGAACCGAGCUGAUUGAACUCAAACCAACAAUCGUCCAGCUGCCCAAACACUCACCCAGCUCCUUUACCCUUGUUUCCAUCGUAUCCUGGUUAAGUCUCAGCUGACUGAUGCCCUUAACCUUCAUUCAGGGCCAUGAUACGCUUGUCUCAAGGUCUAAUGACCUGACUGGUGCGUUUCCCCGCACCAUGGCCCGUCCGGCCGAUCCUAUCUAGGAUCGGGGACAUGACAAGCCACAGACGUCCAAGGACCAACGUGCUGAUAUGUGUACUGAUGGACAGCCACAGACGUCCUGUGUGUGCUGACAGACACACAGACACACACGGACAGCCACAGACUUCCUGUGUGUGUUGACGGACAGCCACAGACAGCCACGAACGUCCUGUGUGUGCUGGCGGACACCCACGGACGUCCUUUUUGUACUGAACAGACAGCACACGUGAGCCAAAAUCACCCAAACAGUCCACGGGAAGGGCCAGCGUGCUGAGUCCAAGGACAAGGGUGCUGAUAUGUGUACUGAUGGACAGCCACGGACGUCAUGUGUGUGCUGAUGGACAGACACACGGAGAGCCACUGACAUCCUGUGUGUGCUGACGGACAGCCACAGACAGCCACGGACGUCAUGUGUGUAGUGGCGGACAACCACGGACGUCCUGUGUGUACUGAACAGACAGCCCACGUGGGCCAAAAUCACCUGAACAGUCCACGGGAAGGGUCAGCGUGCAGAGUCCAAGGACCAACGUGCUGAUAUGUGUACUGAUGGACAGCCACGAACGUCCUGUGUGUGCUGACGGACACACACAGACACACACGGACACACACGGACGGCCACGGAUGUCCUGUGUGUGCUGACGGACACCCACGGACGUCAUGUGUGUGCUGACGGACACCUAUGGACGUCCUGUGUGUACUGAACACACAGCCCACGUGGGCCAAAAUCACCCGAACAGUCCACGGAAAGGGCCAGCGUGCUGAGUCCAAUGACCAGCGUGCUGAUAUGUGUACUGAUGGACAGCCACGGACGUCCUGUGUGUGCUGACGGACACACACGGACACACACGGACAGCCACGGACGUCAUGUGUGUGCUGACGGACAGCCACGGACAACCAUGGACGUCCUGUAUGUGAUGACGGACACCCACGGACGUCCUGUGUGUACUGAACAGACAGCCCACGUUUGCCAAAAUCACCCAAACAGUCCACGAGAAGGGCCAGCGUGCUAAGUCCAAGGACCAGCGUGCUGAUACGUGUACUGAUGGGCAGCCACGGACGUUCUAUGUGUGCUGACGGACACACACGGACAACCAUGGACGCCCUUCGUGUGCUGACGGACACACACGGACGUCCUGUGUGUACUGAAUAGACAGCCCACGUGGGCCAAAAUCACCCAUAGACAGCCAAAAUCAACCGAGAAGCCAAAAAUUCAAAAAUUGAUAUUUUUGAAGCAAGUAUUCUGAAAGGAAACAUCAAAAAUAUGUCAACAAAGAGUUUAGGAUGUCAAGUUUUGAACAAAAGUUGCUGUAGACAUCCGUUUAGACCAUGAUCGAACAUCACCACAGGGUCGUGUAUCACUUCUGUCAUGUCCCCGAUCCUAGAUAGGAUCGGCCGGACGGGCCAUGGUGCGGGGAGACGCACCAGUCAGGUCAUUGGACCUUGAGACAAGCGUAUCAUGGCCCUGAAUGAAGGUUAAGGGCAUCAGUCAGCUGAGACUUAACCAGGAUACGAUGGAAACAAGGUUAAUGGAGUGGAGUGAGUGUUUAGGUAGCUGGACAGUGUUGGGUUGAGUUCAAUCAGCUCGGUUCAGCUGGUAUUCCGUUCACCAUGUUCUGUUCAGCCCACGGGAGCUGGUGGACUAGCUCACUCAGCUGGGAACAGCUGGAGGUCAGCUAAAUCCAGUGGAACGGUGCGUUCUAGUUCGGAUCAGUGUGGCGAGUCCGGGACGGUUACUGGGCGAGCCGAUGGUCCGAGUGCAGGACGGUUCGACCAAAUUGGACUUAGGCUUGGGACAGGAAGUGGGCAAGUUUCCAGAGUGUGAGCUGAGACUCAGUGAUCGAUUUGUCAAAGGAAGAAAAGGGGAGAAACCGCCAAUGGGCGGUUAUGGGACGGUUUUGGGAAGAAGGGGUGUGGUUCUUGGUAACUGCUCGCCAGGCGGUUGAGGGCAGUUUAAGUCGUCCUCUCUCUCUGAUUUCUGCCAUUCUGGUCGAUUUUUACUCAACUUCACACAGAGAGAAACACAGAGAAAAUUUAAGAGAGAAAGAGACACACAAACCUUGGAUCGGCCGAUUUGAUCCAAGAGAUUGUUCUUGUGUGUUCCUGGUUCAGGCUCGGUCGCUACGUAGCGACCGAACGAGACGGACGCUCGGUCGCUACGUAGCGACCAAGCGAGACGGACGCUCGGUCGCUACGUAGCGACCAAGCGAGACGGACGCUCGGUCGCUACGUAGCGACCGAGCUUGGCUCGGACUCGGUCGCUACGUAGCGACCGAGCGAGACAAACGCUCGGUCGCUACGUAGCGAUCGAGCUUGGCUCGAGACGGACGCUACAUAGCGAUCGAGCGAGACGGACGCUCGGUCGCUACGUAGUGACCGAGCGAGACGGACGCUCGGUCGCUACGUAGCGACCGAGCUUGGCUUGAGCUCGGUCGCUAUGUAGCGACCGAGCUGUGUGCAUGCUUGGUCGCCGCGUAUCGAUCGAGCUUGGCUUGUCCGCGGUCUGAUUUCCAUACUCGAGCGUAUCGAUCGAGCUUGGCUCAGGCUCGGUCGCUACUUAGCGACCGAGCAAGACGGACGCUCGGUCGUUACGUAGCGACCGAGCUUGGCUCAGGCUCGGUUGCUACAUAGUGACCGAGCGAGACGGACGCUCGGUCGCUACGUAGCGACCGAGAUUGGCUCGGACUCGGUCGCUACGUAGUGACCGAGCUUGGCUCGGGCUCGGUCGCUACGUAGCGACCGAGCGAGACGGACGCUCAAUCGCUACGUAGCGACCGAGCUUAGCUCAGGCUUGGUCGCUACGUAGCGACCGAGCGAGACAGACGCUCGGUUGCUACGUAGUGAUAGAGCUUGGCUUGGGCUUGGUCGCUACGUAGCGACCGAGCGAGACGGACGCUCGGUCGCUACGUAGCGACCGAGCUUGGCUCGGGCUCGGUCGCUACGUAGCGACCGAGCGAGACGGACGCUCGGUCGCUAUGUAGCGACCGAUCUUGGCUCGGGCUCGGUCGCUACGUAGCGACCGAGCGAGACAGACGCUCGGUCGCUACGUAACGACCGAGCUUGGCUCGGGCUCGGUCACUACGUAGCAACCGAGCGAGACGGACGCUCGGUCGCUAUGUAGCGACCGAGAUGUGUGCAUGCUUGGUCGCCGCGUAUCGAUCGAGCUUGGCUUGUCUGCGGUCUGAUUUCCAUACUCGAGCUUGUCCGCGGACGAUUUGGAUACAUGUCCGUUGCCUUCGGACAAUUGGUAUUUAGUGGUUCGAUUGAGAUUUGGACGAGAUUUUACUGCAAGGCUCUUCGUAAAGAUAUCUUUACGAAGAUUACUUUUCGUAAAAAUGUUUAUGCCGAUUUUUACGGACUUUCAGACAUUGAUUCCGUCGUGACCGAUUUUGACCCCAACAGUUAGCCCCCCAGCUCGUUAGAACCAUGAGCUUCUAGCGUGAGGUUCUAGCGAGUGGCUUGGCAAGUUAGGCAAGUUAGGUGAGUUAGGCGGAAUUAAUGGUUGAAAAGGUCUGUGGUAAGUGAUCUUCUCGCUCUCCUAAAAGUAGAAACGCGAUAAGAUUGGGGCUGCGCCUUAUUACGGCUGCCUACGUACCCUUGUUGAAGGGAUCAAGCCUUUCGUAGUUCGUCUUGGAGUUAAGGUUCUUAUGACUAGUUUUUCAGUAGGACCAUUAUGGUCUAGUUUUUAUGUAGCGGUUAUAAGGCGUGUUGCUGCCGAUGGCAUUUUGUAUGGGUGUAGAGGGAAGACUACGAGUUGUCGUCUCGUAAUCUAACUCUGUGUGAAUUGCCAUAUCCAUAAUAUGUUUCGAGAGUUUUCUGCAGUGUGUAAACUUACGGGAUUUUCUGAAGCCGUUCGAAUAUUGGCAAAGAGACAAAUUUUGGGAUCUCGUAUCAGGGUGUUUGAUACUAUGCCUAGAGAUGUUAGAGACCAGUGCGCUGGGUUUAGGGCAAGACCUAGGUUUACUUUCGGUUUAAGGAUUGUGCGGUGACUGGCCGGCUAUCGUUUUUCCUGUUGCGAUUUCUUCCUGAUUCGUAUCGAUUUAAAGUCCGCGAUAGGUUCUCGGCUUAUACGACUUGUUUGAUACGAAUCGAGCAUCUCUCCGGAGACCGGAAGUGCCGGACCAAAAUUUCAGAUUUCUUUUAUAGCGCUAUUAUCCUUGUGUCGGAUGUAAGAGAGUCAUCUUCGUGAGAUGGCUAUGUCUGUUUAGGACGUUGAGAGUUUGUUGUGAUCAGCAACAAACUUAAUGGUAAAAAAUACUGUUUCGAGUCUUCGCGAAGAAUAUUUUUUGAGAAGAUGUUAGUGCGUAUGACUGUUUGGUCUUCCAUGAAGGUGUUUUUAUCGAGGAAGGAAAUUUCGUCAAAGAACUAAUCUUCAGGCGUCUGCAACGUCUCGCGAUGCUGAAGAUUUGUUAUUUUUUCGUAUGCCACGUUUCGUGCUUGAAAUGUUCGCGGGCUUGAAGAUAUUUCGCGAUGUUGCAAGGGUUUAGUCUUAGCCAUGCGUUUGAAAAAAAUUCUAGUUUGACUACGAAUGUUCGCAGCCAAAAUUGUUGUUCAUGUUUGGAUGCUAAUAGUUUUAUUUGCGAUCGAGGAAUUAUGACUGAGGUGUCGUGUAAAUUUGUCCGUGGGAACAAGCGUUUUCCUUCAUAAUGCGUUUGUGAAGUGUUGGCCUUCCGAGAUGUAUUUCGUGCACUUUUUAGGAUGUUUCGUAUAGCUCUAGAAGCUUUGUUACGAUUAUUUCCUUACAUGCCGCGUAUUAUGGUUAAAACGUUGCGGGCUUAAAGUGAAUUAAGGAGCGUAUUGAACUUGGUCAAUUUUCGAAAAGUUUAGAUUUUCCGUUAACCGUUUGGUUGUUAGGACUUAGUUCCAUUACGAAGAAUUUAUCAUAUGAUUUCCGACUGUGGGCUAUACGAUAAUUUAUCAUAUCACAUAACCGAUUUUACGAAGGUCGUAACUCAGUGAUAUGUAUACAUAUGUCAAAGUAGCAUUGUUUCUGCGGGUUCUACGAGAAACGUUCCCGCUGUGAUUUUGACCUUAGGUGAAAGUUGCUUGGAGUUACCCAUGGAGUAUUACCGAAGUUUAUUCCAAUACGAUCUAGUCGCGGGACGUUUUUCAUAGGUUACGCUUGGACUGUGAUUUGGUUGUUUCUACGUUGACGACUUGGGAUAUGUCGGUUCCGAGGAAAUUGCCAGAAAUGAAUCGGUUUUAAGACGACGUUCAUGUCUCUAACUUUUUCUCUUUUUAGGAAGCGAGCUUGAUAUGUGUGGCGAUCGUUUCUCGACUUUCGGAGAGUUUAGAAUGGUUUGCAAGAUCUGGAUGAACAAUUAUGGAACAAUAUAUCGAGACAGGAAAAAUCGCUUAAAACUUAGUUCGCUAGACUAUCCGCCUAGGUUUUACGUUCCCUAAAGUUCUAUGGCAGCCUCAAAGUAAUUUCCUACGAAAAUUCCAAGUCUGAUUUCAAAAAUUUCAAGUCGGAAAUACCUUAGUUCUCUCAAAGAUGCAGUUUUGUCCCUUCUCAGUUUUGCGUGCUCAUUUCCGUUUCCUAUUCUCGUGUAUGUUCGCCAUUUUCGAUAUUGGUGUUUAUCCUUUGAAACUUGACAUUUAUCUUCCGAACUUGACUGUUAUCUUCUCCUUAGAUAAGACGUCGAUUUUUGUAAAAAGGUUCAACGUAAUCGUAUAGUUAAGGCGGCUAAGGUGUUAAGUUAACCAUUGCCGUUUUAUACGAUUAAUCUGAAUCCAUGCGAGAAAAUAGGUCUUUGCAGUUUUUUUUUUAUAUCGUAAAGUCUCAAUGGUAACUUCAAUCGACGCGAAACAAGAGACGUUUCGAUCGAGAUUCGAAAGUGAACGCAAAGAUGGAGGUAGGGUGAGCAGAAACAAGCCAAGGAGUUUAAGAUGAGGUUUACUUGUUUUUGUCGUAAAAUCUCAACGGAAACUCCGAUUGAGACGAAACGAAAAGCGUUUCGAUAAUAAUUCAAAGGAGAACGCAAAGGAGGACCCCUUUGAGGCCUGACAGGUCGCUAUAGCGAGUGAGGAUGUCAUCUCGGUCGCUAUAGCGAGUGGAAGGGAGCCGAGACGAGUCCCACUUGUUUUCGUCGUAAAAUCUCAACGGAAACUCCGAUUGAGACGAAACGAAAAGCGUUUCGACGAGGAUUCAAAAGACAACCCAAAGGAGGACCUUUCUGAGGCCUUACAGGUCGCUACGUAGCGACUGACAGUCUGACAGGUCGCUACGUAGCGAGUGGAAGCAAGCCGAGACGAGUCCCACUUGUUUUCGUCGUAAAAUCUCAACGGAAACUCCGAUUGAGACGAAACGAAAAGCGUUUCGAUGAGGAUUCAAAAGAGAACCCAAAGGAGGACCUUUCUGAGGCCUUACAGGUCGCUACGUAGCGACUGACAGUCUGACAGGUCGCUACGUAGCGAGUGGAAGCAAGCCGAGACGAGUCCCACUUGUUUUCGUCGUAAAAUCUCAACGGAAACUCCGAUUGAGACGAAACGAAAAGCGUUUCGAUGAGGAUUCAAAAGAGAACCCAAAGGAGGACCUUUCUGAGGCCUUACAGGUCGCUACGUAGCGACUGACAGUCUGACAGGUCGCUACGUAGCGAGUGGAAGCAAGCCGAGACGAGUCCCACUUGUUUUCGUCGUAAAAUCUCAACGGAAACUCCGAUUGAGACGAAACGAAAAGCGUUUCGACGAGGAUUCAAAAGAGAACCCAAAGGAGGACCUUUAUGAGGCCUUACAGGUCGCUAUGUAGCGACUGACAGUCUGACAGGUCGCUACGUAGCGAGUGGAAGCAAGCCGAGAAGAGACCUACUUGUUUUCGUCGUAAAAUCUCAACGGAAACUCCGAUUGAGACGAAACGAAAAUAUUUCGACGAGGAUUCAAAAGAGAACCCAAAGGAGGACCUUUCUGAGGCCUUACAGGUCGCUAUGUAGCGAGUGGAGAGUUGGCUUGAGCUCGGUCACUACGUAGCGACCGAGCAGCGUGUGUGCUCGGUCGCUACGUAGCGACCUAGCAGGGUGCGUGCUCGGUCGCUACUUAGCGACCGAGCCGUGUGCGUGCUCGGUCGCUACGUAGCGACCGAGCAGCGUGUGCGUGCUUGUCGCUACGUAGCGACCGAGCAGUGUGCGUGCUCGGUCGCUACGUAGCGACCGAGCUGUGUAAUCGUUUUGUUGUGUUUCCUUUUUCCGCGAUUAACGUAGGGGUUUUUCAGCGGUUUUUUUGGGAGAACAAGUUUUAUCCUUCCGAAAUGUUUUCGGAAAACGUGUUUUGGUAAAACCCUUACGCAUCGAGAUUUGUUUACGGGGUUUUGAUAAGAUUUAUCGUUUCCCUUCUUGUUUACAGGGAGAAAUCGCGAGCUUGUUUUAGUGCUCUUCCUGUGGCGGAAUGUCGCGACUAAAUUUUCGAUUUUGUUGAAAACUACGGCGUUUGCGUAAGCGUUGGCCAUAGGAGCAGUCAGUGCUGCGAGUUUGUCUUUCAUAUAUCCAAACAUCGUUUCGAUCAAGCGUUUUGUGGCCAUGAGUAAGAGUAAUCCGUAACCCCCCCCUCCUUCUAGCGCCAAACUGUGGGAACCGAAAUUUGCACUGUCGAUUUCCGUUUAAAUAAGGAAACUAGGAAAACCUUAAUUUCCCAGAGGACCCGGAUCUCUGCGAGAGCCAACGAUAAGUAACCAAACAAAUGCGGAAAAUAUGAGAAAACAUGAUAAAACGAAUUUACAAAGAAAGUAGAUCUUAUUUCGAAUUCGCGUAAGAGCGUUGCGAUCAUUACAUAAGAAUACAAAGGCUUUGGCCGCAGGGACCGUCAGCGAGUUACCUAGUUCUAGCAACAUAAAACCCUAAUCCUAGUUGAGUCGCAGCUCGAUAACAAAGGACGAAAAAGAUAUCUAAAAGGCUUAGAUUGAUUUCGGACUGAACCUUGUUAAAGGCUGCCUACGUACCCCGUUCGAGGAUCAAGCCGAACGUAGUUCAAUUGAUAGAGCUGGACAAGAGAUCGAACUGCCUGGGCGAGUUCGUCUAGUAAUUGAGUGCCAGUCAUAGAAACCGAACUUGUCGAGAAUAAAGCCUAAAGUUUCUAAGUGCAAAGAAUUCCGAAUCUAAAAAGUUCUCCCCCAUGCUCCUCGCCUAGGACUCCUUAUAUACUAGCUCCAAGGUCGGUUUACGCUUUUACUCUUCUGCCCUUAAGCCGUCAUAGCAUAAAAAUGGAGAUAUUCCAUUUUUCCCGAUUUUCACAAUUAUCUUCAAAACUUCCGUAUUUAUCCGCGGAAACUUGACAUUUAUCCUUCCUUGUGGACCAAGUGUAAACCGGGCUGUGGUUUAUGGGCUUUUGGUUAAGAAAUCGCAGGAUGGGCCUCGAGUCGUGUUUUAGGUCCCUUUGGGCCGUCUUCCGACUCGAAGAGUUUACUACGAUUUCUUUCAACAAAGAAAGAACUUUCCGCGGUUUCUAAUCCGCGAAGUUUGAUCGAUGAUUUAGAAUAGCGGAAAACAUAGACUGAGCUCGCUACAGUCUUCGAGAGAUAGCAUUUGAAGGUUUGACGAGAAUGCAUGGACUGGUUUCAUACCGAUGUUUGGAAGAGAUCGGUCGCUAUGCAGCGACCAAACUUUGGCUCGAGCCCGGUCGCUACGUUGCGACCGAGCGAGAUGGACGCUCAGUCGCUACGUAGCGACCGAGCUUGUCUCAGGCUCGGUCGCUACAUAGCGACCAAGCGAGACGGACGCUCGGUCGCUACGUAGCGACCGAGCUUGGCUCAGGCUCGGUCGCUACAUAGCGACCGAGCGAGACCGACGCUCGGUCGCUACUUAGCGACCGAGCGUUGCAACGUAGCGACCGAGCGAGACGGACGCUCUGUCGCUACGUAGCGACCGAGCUUGGCUCAGGCUCGGUCGCUAUGUAGCGACCGAGAAAGACGGACGCUCGGUCGCUACGUAACGACCGAGCGAGAUUGACGCUCGGUCGCUAUGGAGCGACCGAGCUUGGCUCGGCCUCGGUCGCUACGUAGCGACCGAGCGUGGCUCGGGCUUGGUCGCUACGUAGCGACCGAGCGAGACGGAUGCUCGGUCGCUACGUAGCGACCGAGCUUGGCUCGGGCUCAGUCUCAACGUAGCGACUGAGCGAGACGGACGCUCGGUUGCUACGUAGCGACCGAGCUUGGCUCGGGCUCGGUCGCAACGUAGCGACCGAGCGAGACGGACGCUCGGUCACUACGUAGCGACCGAGCUUGGCUCAGGCUCGGUCGCUAUGUAGCGACCGAGCUUGGCUCGGGCUCGGUCGCUACGUAGCGACCGAGCGAGAGGGACGCUCGGUCACUACGUAGCGACCGAGCUUGGCUCGGGCUCGGUCGCUACGUAGGGACCGAGCGAGACGGACGCUUGGUCGCUACGUAGCGACCGAGCUUGGCUCGGGCUCGGUCACAACGUAGCGACCGAGCGAGACGGACGCUCGGUCGCUACGUAGCGACCGAGCUUGGCUCAGGCUCGGUCGCUAUGUAGCGACUGAGCGAGACGGACGCUCGGUCGCUACGUAGCGACCGAGCUUGGCUCGAGCUCGGUCUCUACAUAGCGACCGAGCGAGAUGGACGCUCGGUCGCUACAUAGCGACCGAGCUUGGCUCGAGCUCGGUCACUACAUAGCGACCGAGCGAGACGGACACUCGGUCGCUACGUAGCGACCGAGCGAGACGGACGCUCGGUCGUUACGUAGCGACCGAGCUUGGCUCGGACUCGGUCACUACGUAGCGACCGAGCGAGACGAAUGCUCGGUCGCUACGUAGCGACCGAGCUUGGCUCGGGCUCGGUCGCUAUGUAGCGACCGAGCGAGACGGACGCUCGGUCGCUAUGUAGCGACCAAGCUUGGCUCGAGCUCGGUCGCUAUGUAGCGACCGAGCUGUGUGCAUGCUUGGUCGCCGCGUAUCGAUCGAGCUUGGCUUGUCCGCGGUCUGAUUUCCAUACUCGAGCUUGUCCGCGGCCGAUUUGGAUACAUGUCCGUUGCCUUCGGACAAUUGGUAUUUAGUGGUUCGAUUGAGAUUUGGACGAGAUUUUACUGCAAGGCUCUUCGUAAAGAUAUCUUUACGAAGAUUACUUUUCGUAAAAACGUUUAUGCCGAUUUUUACGGACUUUCAGACAUUGAUUCCGUCGUGACCGAUUUUGACCCCAACAAUGUGGACGAGCAGCAAGAGCAAGUCCCUGGAGACAAUACUGGGUCGUCCAACGUUGGUGCUGGAAGUGGCCAGAAUGUUGAAGAAAGCAAUGUUCGGGUCACUGGUGCCGAGGAGGUCAUUGAGCCGACCAUAAGGGGCUUGGUGGAGGCUAUGCAGAUCAUGGGAGCUCAGAUAGCCUCCUUGACACAGGCGUUCACACCAUUGGUGAACUCGUCCGUGGGACAGGCUAAUCCUCCGGUUCGUGUUGCUGCUGGAGUGGCUGAUGUUGGUACUGGCCGUGUGGCUGAGGUGAUUUAGAUUGACCCACCGGUUAGGCCAGUGCAUGGUAUGGACUACCUGAAGGUGCUGGAGCAUAUCUCCAAGUUGGGGACCAAACACUUUGCUGGAAGUGUUGAUCCUAUGGAGGCGGACGAGUGGAGAACCAGGUUGGUUCGAAACUUCAAGUCCACACGAUGUCCUGAGGAUUACCAAAAGGACAUAGCAGUACACUUCCUGGAGGGAGAUGCACAUAAUUGGUGGUUAGCUUUGGACAAGCGUACCAAUGGUACCAUUGAGCACUUUGCUGACUUCGAGGUUGAAUUCAACCAUAAGUACUUUCCUGCUGAGGCGUGGGAUCGUUUGGAGUCUAAGUUCCUGGACUUGACUCAGGGACGGAGGACUGUUCGUGAGUAUGAAGAAGAGUUCAAUCGACUCAGGAGGUAUGUGGGAAGAGAACUGGAGGAUGAGAAGGUUCAGGUCCGAAGGUUCAUCCGAGGUCUAAGGGUGAAGCUUCGAACCUACUUUUCUGUUUGUAAGUUCCACACAGUUUCUGAGUUCGUUGAGAGGAUGGCCUUGCUGGAGACCAACCUCACCGAGGAGGGUAAGCAGAAGCUGAAGAGUGUGGUGGUAUCCUCGGGUCAGAGUGGUGACAAGAAGAGGAAGAGGGACUCGACCGAAGAGGGUAAAACCUCAAGUGGUAGGUGAGAGUGCCCUAAGUGUGGUCGCUACCACGGUGUAGAGUGCUGGAAGGCCAUGGGCGCCUGCACUCGAUGUGGUAAGAUGGAUCACUCAGCCAAGGAUUGUCCAAGCCCGUUGGGUGAGUCCAGGACCUGUCAUCACUGCGGCCAGAAGGGCCAUUACCGCAGGGAUUGCCCUAAGUUGCAAGGCAACCAGAGUAAGGGUCGUGGAGAGGCUAACAGGCCAGUCCAGGGACGAGGCCAGACCUCAACACCUCCUGUGUAUGAACUAUCCAAGGAUGUGGGUGGGACUCAGCCUUUCCAAGCGAUCACUGGUAACAUUCUAGACUAUUACUUUUACAAUUCCAGUAGAAUUGCAUGGUAUGGAACCUAGGAUGGAUAGAUAUACUUUGAAGGGUCUUGUGUAGGGACUUUAAGUAUUGGUGGUGUGGAAACACACACAUUAUUUGAUACUGGAGCUACACAUAAUUUUGUGAGUCCAAGUAUGAUUGGAAAAGGUUUGUUCCAGUAUGGAACAUGGGAUGGUCCUGAACGAGUGAGUGCGGCCGGAGGGCAAGUUAUGAACUCACUCGGUCUGGUUAAGGACAUCCUUGUGGUGAUCUUGGAUAGGCCGAUGCCUAUAGAUCUGAUUGUUGUCCCCCUCAAGCAUCAUGAAGUGAUCUUGGGCAUGGACUGGUUGGGGAAGUAUCGGGCAACUCUAGAUUGUCACCGGGGAAGGGUGCAACUUGAGAACGAGUUUGGACCCCCGAUUAAGUACCAAGGAAUCAAGCCAACCUCUUGUAGUUUGGUGGUUUCAGCAGUCCAAGUAGAACGGAUGCUUGGAAAUGGUUGUGAGGCCUUUUUGGCUACCAUUUACACUGAUGAGGUUGUAGGGGCCUGUGACCCAGAGGGUAUACCAAUGGUUCGGGAAUUUCAGGAUGUGUUUGGGGCACUACAGGGCAUUCCCCCUGAUAGGGCUGACCCAUUCAUCAUUGAAUUGGAACCUGGAACGGCCCCAUUAUCAAAAACUCCAUAUAGAAUGGCGCCAGCUGAGAUGGCAGAGCUGAAGAAGCAACUUGAGGAGUUGCUUGAGAAGGGGUUCAUACACCCUAGUGUAUCACCUUGGGAAGCACCAGUCCUAUUUGUUAAGAAAAAGGAUGGUAUCUUUAGGUUGUGCAUUGAUUAUAGUGGUUUGAACAGGGUGACUGUAAAGAACAAGUACCCUUUACCCAGGAUUGAUGAGUUGUUGGAUCAACUCCGUGGAGCCAAGUGGUUCUCCAAGAUUGACCUGGCCUCUGGGUAUCAUCAGAUCCCCAUUGCACCAGGUGAUGUGAGGAAGACAGCGUUCCGAACUAGGUAUGGCCACUAUGAGUUUGUGGUUAUGUCGUUCGGACUGACCAAUGCACCUGCUGCAUUCAUGAAGAUGAUGAACGACAUCUUCAGGGAAUACUUGGACGAGUUUGUGAUCAUCUUCAUUGAUGAUAUACUCGUGUAUUCCAAGACCAAGGAGGACCAUGAAAGACACCUUAGGUCGGUGUUGGGCCGUCUGAUGGAACAGCCAAAGAAUGCUAUGGAAGUUAGAAGCUUCUUGGGGUUGGCUGGUUAUUACAGAAAAUAUGUCAAGGGGUUCUCGAGCAUAGCUCAACCUAUGACUAAGCUGACAGGCAAAGACGUGAGGUUCACAUGGUCUGAGGAGUGUGAGAAAAGUUUUGCAGCACUCAAGAACAUGUUGACUAAUGCACCUGUUCUGGUGUUGCAUGAGGCUGAUCAGCCUUAUAUGGUGUAUACGGAUGCAUCCAUAACUGGUCUUGGUUGUGUUUUGACACAACAUGGGAAGGUGAUAGCCUAUGCUUCCAGACAGCUAAGGAAGCAUGAAGGUAACUAUCUGACCCAUGAUUUGGAGAUGGCUGCACUAACUUAAGGUGCUAAGGUUCAAAUACUCACAGACCAUAAGAGCUUGAAGUACAUAUUCACUCAGCCUGAGUUAAACUUAAGGCAGAGGAGAUGGAUGGAGUUUGUUGCAGAUUAUGAUCUGGACAUAGCUUAUCAUCCUGGGAAAGCUAACCUAGUGGCUGAUGCUUUGAGCCGCAGAAGGGCUGAAGUGUCAUCUGAGAGGGAGGCAGUGAACCAGGCCGAUCUCCUGACCAGGAUCAGGCAAGCACAGAGCCUGGAUGAAAAUCUAAAGAAGAUACCCGCCAAUGACAAGACAGAGUACCAGACGGCUGACAAUGGUACCAUCUUGGUCAAUGGGAGGGUCAGUGUUCCUAAUGAUAAGGAACUCAAAGAAGAGAUUAUGAGACAGGCUCAUAAGUCUAAGUUUUCAGUUCAUCCUGGACUGAACAAGAUGUAUAGGGAUCUGAAAAGGUACUACCAUUGGGUAAGGAUGAAAUCUGAUGUUGCAGAGUGGGUGGCUAAGUGUCCCACUUGUCAACUGGUGAAGGCAGAACAUCAGGUUCCCAGUGGUCUACUUCAGAACCUACCCAUACCAGAAUGGAAAUGGGAUCACAUCACAAUGGAUUUUGUGACUGGGUUUCCCACGACCAGAAAUAAGAAAGAUGCAGUAUGGGUUGUGGUCGAUCGGCUGACCAAGUCGGCUCAUUUCCUGCCUAUCAAGAAAGGGGAUGGGGUCGACAGGAUUGUGCAAGUGUAUCUGGACGAGAUAGUGAGGUUGCAUGGUGUUCCAGCAAGCAUUGUCUCGGACAGGGAUCCAAGAUUUACAUCUUAUUUCUGGCAGGCUUUCCAAAAGGCCUUGGGAACCAGAGUGAAUAUGAGCACAUCUUAUCAUCCUCAAACGGAUGGGCAGUCUGAAAGGACAAUCCAAACCUUGGAGGAUAUGCUAAGGGCUUGUGUGUUAGACUGGGGAGAGUCUUGGGAAAGACACUUACACUUAGUGGAGUUUGCUUACAACAACAGCUUCCAUACAAGCAUUGGUAUGUUCCCAUAUGAGGCUUUGUAUGGUAGGCCGUGCAGGACACCCCUAUGCUGGACCCAAGUGGGGGAGCGUAGCAUGUUGGGUCCUGAGAUUGUAGAACAGACCAUUGAGAAGAUCAGGAUCGUCAAAGAGAAGAUGAAGGAGGCGCAGGACCGCCAAAAGAGCUAUGCAGUCAAGCGUAGGAAACAUCUUGAGUUUGAGGUCAAUGACCUGGUGUAUCUCAAGAUGAUUACCUUUAAGGGUAGGACCAGGAAUUCUGGACGAAAGAAACUGGAUCCUAGGUACUAGGGUCCAUUCAGGAUCAUAGAGAGAGUGGGUGCAGUGACAUACAAGUUGGACUUGCCAUCAGCAAUGGAUGCAUACCACAACGUGUUCCAUGUAUCCCAACUCCGGAAAUGCUUGUCUGAACAAGACAUUGUCUUGCCCGAGAUUCCUGCUGACCUUGGUAAGGACUUGGCUUUGGAAACCUUGCCGGUUCGGAUUGUGGAUCGGUCAGAGAAAGCUAUGAGAAGGAAGACAGUUCCCAUGAUCAAAGUGGUGUGGGAUUACAGAAGCAAAGAUGAAAGCUAUGUCUCCGGAUUGGUACAAAAAUUUCUACCGGACGAAACACUUAACAUCGAUUCGAGGACGAAUCCUAAGUUAGUGGGGGAGACUUGUCAUGUUUCCGAUCCUAGAUAGGAUCGGCCGGACGGGCCAUGGUGCGGGGAGACGCACCAGUCAGGUCAUUGGACCUUGAGACAAGCGUAUCAUGGCCCUGAAUGAAGGUUAAGGGCAUCAGUCAGCUGAGACUUAACCAGGAUACGAUGGAAACAAGGUUAAAGGAGUGGAGUGAGUGUUUACGUAGCUGGACGAGUGUUGGGUUGAGUUCAAUCAGCUCGGUUAAGCUGGUAUUCAGUUCACCAUGUUCUGUUCAGCUCACGGGAGCUGGUGGACUAGCUCACUCAGCUGGGAACAGCUUGGAGGUCAGCUCAAUCCAGUGGAACGGUGCGUUCUGGUUCGAAUCAGUGUGGACGAGUCCGGGACGGUUACUGGGCGAGCCGAUGGUCCGAGUGCAGGACGGUUCGACCAAAUUGGUCUUAGGCUUGGGACAGGAAGUGGGCAAGUUUCCAGAGUGUGAGCUGACACUCAUUGAUCGAUUUGUCAAAGGAAGAAAAGGGGAGAAACCGCCAAUGGGCGGUUAUGGGACGGUUUUGGGAAGAAGGGGUGUGGUUCUUGGUAACUGCUCGCCAGGCGGUUGAGGGCAGUUUAAGUCGUCCUCUCUCUCUGAUUUCUGCCAUUCUGGUCGAUUUUUACUCAACUUCACACAGAGAGAAACACAGAGAAAAUUCAAGAGAGAAAGAGAGACACAAACCUUGGAUCGGCCGAUUUGAUCCAAUAGAUUGUUCUUGUGUGUUCCUGGUGUGUUUGGGCGUGUGAUCAAGAGGAUGGAUUUGAGGCAGAAAGACAAGGAGAAGGCAAAGGAGAAAGAGAAGGAAGUCGCCCCUAGAGACCGAACUCCUAAGGUGAGAGGUGUGGCCAAGAGUAACCGGACAAGGCCGCGGAUAAUGGCCGUGUGAGUCUGGCCAGUUUGGAUCGAUUGGCCACUCCUUACUCUGACUUCUUCUACUCUGUUUCUUCAUAUAUAUUGUGCUAUGGAUUGUUUUAUGAUAUCACAGGGAAGGAUCCAUCGAUCUUAGGCUUUGGCCUGAUCAAAUCCCCAUGAAAGUCCCUUGUUCUUGUGUGGGCUGUUCAUGGCCGAGAUCACUAUGAUCUGAGCCGGUUCUUUUAAAUCUGAUUAUGGGAAUAUUUUUCUUCUGAAUUGUCAUGAUUUAUCAUCAAUUUUAUUUGGGAUUUGGAUCUCUUUUUAAAGGGGCCAGACUUGACAUUUUUGAUGACAGUUCUUGACUAGAUUAGAUCUGACCAUGCAAUGUGAACUGAUUCUUGUUUUGUAAUCUAACCUUGUGAUUGUGUGUUUGUCUGUCUUGGAUCCAGGCCAAGAAAUGGACCGUGGUAAGGGAAUAGCACCAUGAGGACCGCGGCCAUGGGAAGAUGUGUGGUGAUUGGGUUGAUUCUGAAAAUUGUGUGAUUAUUGUAGCCUAUUGUGCAACUUGUGAACUUAUGCGAUUCUAGUGUGUGAUCUAUUUAUUAGGAUGAUGAAUGAUGUAUAAACCUUGGUUAUUAUCUAUGAAAUAUCUAUUUGCCCUAGUUGAUGUUGGAAUGUUUAAGUGUGAAUGUUGGAAACCUCAAAACUCUGAAAAAGACUUAGAAUUAUUUAACACUUGAACUUGAAUAUGAAAAUGAAAUUGGUUGCAUUGUUUGGUGAGGCCGCGGUCUGGUUGGAUUGGGGAAUCCAGGAUCGGGUCUUACAACUUCCCCCUUCAGUGCCCAUGAAACUGCCUUUCUACACACAUCUGCCCUAAAGGCUGUCUUGGCCUUUGGGAAUGAAUUUCGGUCAUCUACCUUCUUUCCUCACCAUUUUCGUGUGUUCUCAGGCCCUGGAGGAUGCUUUGGGUGUAACAUCACGGAUCAAAGCCUCCAUAAAGUCGCUCAUAUCUUCCCCCCUUGAUCUCUCCCAAAACUGCCUCUUUAUGGCCUUCACACCACCAUGGGUCUUGGAUUGGGAAUCCGACUAACUCUCUGUCUUUUCACUGUGUUUCUUUGUGUUUCAGAGUGUAGGAGGAAGCCCUGGCGUGCCUGCAAAGGCACGGACUUGCCUGCCUUUUAUAGAAGAAGGGGUAGUUACCUUUCCAAAGGUUUCACCCUUUCGGUAUCAUUUCUGGCCAUUGAUUUAAUCAAUUGCCCAGAUCACACCCUUUCGCCUCUGGCAGUUACCAGACGUCCUGGAACUGUCAAACCACUCCUGGACAUGUUCAAAACAAGCCCACACGGAUUGCCCAAGCUUCUGUCUCAAUCCCAAGAGCCAACCAGCCCAUUGGCACACACGGGUCACCCACAUGGCCCGGCCACUGUCCAGACCCGGCGCUACUGCCCAUGACUUGAACACUCAGUCCAGCUGAGUUGAUCUGAUCCCCAGCUGACCCAGCUGAGUGAGCUAGACCUUCCAGCUCAGGGAGCUGACCUACACUUCAGUGAGCUACAUCGAGCUGCACUACACUUCACCUAUCUGGUCGAGCUUGCUUACUGCAUCGCCCAACUGUUAUACACUGUUUCCAGCUUGCUUCCUUUAUCUUCUUCAAUCCAUGUAAGUCCCUUGGUCUAUUUCCAGACCUAGACUUAGUUCUCCCAGGAUCCAUUCUGAUCACUCACUUCAUCGAGCUUCACCCGGAUCUCGUCCAGCUACCAGCUCGCUUGUCCAGCUCCUUUGAGCUUGCCUCUGCCUUAUUUUUGGUUAAGUUCCUGCUACCUGAUUCCCUUAACACGUUUUGGACCAUGACACGCUUGUCCUUAGGUCAUGUGACCUGACUGGUGCGUCUCCUCGCACUAAUGUCUGUCCGGACGGUCCUAUCCAGGAUCGGGGAUGCUACAAGUCUCCCCCACUUAGAAUGGAUUCGUCCUCGAAUCCGGUGGUGCUGACGCCCUGCCUUAAGACCAUAGGUUCCAACCUAACUCUUUGCAUUCAGAAAAUGGAGCAUGCUCGUUUGGUUAUUCCAAACCAAUUCAUUGCAUCUCCAUCUAUGUUCCUUCUCAUUGAUUACACCUUGAUCAUCAUAUAUAUACAAGUCUUAUCAAGUGGUCCAUCAAGCACCCAUACAAGGACAUGACGGGUGUCACUGACCCAACUCUCCAGGUUGCGGUCCUUGUAGACACCAAGUCCAUAUCUCUCUUUUGAAUGUCGUCUUUUCUAGACCUCACUCUUUUUUCAGAUCUUAGUCGAUGACUAGAUCAAAUUCAGUCACUAGGAACAUACUGCAUACUUAAGUCUUAGAAGAUUCAACCAAUCUCCAAGCCACUCGAUGCACCAGCCAAGUCCUAGAGAACAUGUUCCAAUAUUUAGGCUGCUCACUCUACCAUGAGUCCUAACAUAUUUUUUUCUGUUUCCUGAAGUCCUUCCCGGACAGUAAGGCUUAUGAUUCCAGCCACCAAUUACUGGAUCAUUCCUUAACCAGCCACAGCCUCUCCUAGCUUGGCCAUAUUGUGAUCUUAGUCCCUACAAGACUAAACCGCCUCAUCUUGACUUCUGUCCAAACCGGACUUUGUCAUAUUUCAAUCCUGGUCCAUUUAGGACGUGAUCAUAUUCCAGUCCUGGUCCACUCAUGGACUUGACCGUUACACCCCGACCAUAGGUCCAUCUCUGAGUAGGUCAUGUCCUGAUCCUCAUCCUUUGCCGGACUUGAUCAUAUUGCGGUUCUGGUCCACUCCAGGACUCAACCAUCUAACCCCAACCAUAGGUCAAUCUCCGACUUGGUUGUGCUGCGAUCCUCAUCCCUCACUGGACUUGAUCGACUUCAGCUCAGCCAUCUCGGCAGGAGCCAUACAAUAGGGACUUUUGAACAUUGGGGCCGUCCCUGGUUCCAGUUCUGCUAUGUUCGGAUCAGCCCUAUCAGGGGGAUUUCCCUGUAGCGCCCGAAACACGUCCUCGAACUCACUGACCAGCGGAAUCCUGUCCGGGUCACCAGCCCCUUCAACCUCCUUAGUGGCUAUUGUGGCCAGUAAGGUUCACAACCCUUCUCAAGCAUCCUUUCCACUUGGAUUGCUGAUAUCACUAAGCAUCCAGAGGUCGGACAAAUACUUUGGAACCUGAUCGGGGGUCCACACCCACUCUCAAACUGCACCCAACUCCAGUGACAGUCCAAGGUGGCCCGAUUCUUCCCAAGCCAGUCCAUGCCUAUCACCUCGUGAUUCUCAAGGCGGAAAACAGUCAGGUCCGCAGUCAUUACCCUGACUGUGAUCAAUACCAGGAUGUCUCUUUCCAGUCCUAGUGAAUCCAUCACCUGCUCACCGGCUUCAUUCACUAUGACAAGACAAUCCUUUGUUCCCAUCUGGAACAAUCCAUUUCCGAUUAUUAAGUAACUAGAUGAGUAGGAUUUUGGUUUGUUCACACAUCUGGAAAAUGUCCCAUACCAUCUCCAAUGUGCCACACUUCUGUGAAGAAGUGUUUAUAAUAUCUUCAAUCCCCAUCAUACAAAAAUACUUAACAUCGUGUUUCCAAUUCCUCUUGGAAUUGAUCCAUUCCAUUCACUCAAUCUUAAGGAAUCCUACCUUGACUUACACUGAGUCCGAGCUGAUCCAUCUGAUCACAAGCCCACUCAUGUACUAGCCAUGUAGUGUCUCCCUUAGACCAAUAUGAACAUCGCAUAUGUUCACGUGUUUCAAACGGCCACCAAGGGAUAACACGAACCUCCACGAGAGUGCUGCACGUUUCUUUCAACCUAAGCCACUCUCUGAUCCAUGUUACUUCCCUUGUCCAGGUCGUUCAUACAAAGAUAUUUCAUUGUGUCCAUUGUCCAAUACGGCUAUUACUUCCAAAUAACUAGAUAACUAACCUUUCUGUUUUCAGGGUUUUGCCCUUGGAGAGUGCAUCUUGGCUAAGCCGGCUCAUCUUGGAACUCCCUGUUCACAAGCAUGUAACCCAUUCUUACCUCAACUCUCUCUUGGCUCACCACAACUAAGGUUCCAAGUCCUCUCAGUUUUCAGAAAUAAUAUCGGUUUGGAACUCAAAAUCUUUGAGCACUGUCUUUAACAGGAUCAAGCAUGUUCUGAUACCAACUUGUAAGGCCCCGACCCGGUUGCCUAAGCCGCAGUCGAUACCUCACGUCGCUCGGUCCAUACACUGACCGAACCUCUCAAAUUUUUUCCCUUUAUUUAAAACAUCGCCCAUAGGCGAGGGCUAACCCAAAUCUUAGCUUAAGACUAUCUUAGUCAUUCCCUAGCUUAGAUCAUUUCAACUUAUGCACAGCGGAUUAAUAUCUACUUAAUCAUUGGUCUAAGACCAAUAUAAUACUUGUCUGGUCGAAUCACCUCAGCUAAUGGUUAGUAUACUCAACUACCAGCUCCAAGGUCAAUCCCGAACCCAAAUCAAGUCAUACAAAUCUGAGGUGACAUUCCCCUAACCAUUCUAUCUAGAUCUAUGCUACAUUGCUAGAUCAUACCUUUGUCACAUCCACGGAGCUUGUUAUCUCAUCGGCCCAACUGCUCUAGCUGAAUAAACUCAUAAACCAGCUGAUCGAGCUGUCACACUCGAACUGAGCUAACUCCGAGUUAUGGCCAGCUGCCAUAUACUGCGUCCAGAUUCUUUACACAUAAAACAACACCUCUAGGUACUUAGUCAUUCAGCCAACCAUCCCCACAGACUUAAGUAACCCUUGAGAAGUCUUCAAACAGCUGAGGACAUGCAUAUGGCCCUUACCGGCUCAUGCACUGUCCCACAUCCUUUUGCCUUAUCAGCUUAUGAUAUCAAGUCCAGCUCAUGGACUAAAAAUACCCAUCAGAUCCUAAGUCAAUCAACCAACCACCCCACUUGACCCAGAACUGAUGAGUCUUCACAUGUACCUAACCGGCCAUGGAACCAUAUCCCAACGAAGCCGAUCAGUCCUUCUCUUACAACCAGUGCAUCCUUUGAUAAAUCAGAUCAGACACCUUGAUCCAUCAUCUAUGGAUCAGGUCGUCCAUCAUUACCCAAGAUCAGAUAACCCACGGCCUUCCUUGAUUAAUAAUACACCAGCUCAGUACUUGUGGUCCAUACCACUUGCACUAGCCUUACUCACCUCCAUGGCUUGCUGCUGAUUCCAACAUAUUGGACCUUGCAAUCCACAUGGUUCCUUUGAUACCAGGACCCCCAUGUGUCUCCUCCAUUUGACGGAUUAAUGGUUCACAAAUGACCAAACCCUACAUCACUCCAUCAGCAAAGCAUCAAUAUGCUCUCAGAUACAAAAAUGACCUCUUCCAAAUAUGCUCCAAUAACUAAUUAAAAUUCAUGAUAAUUCAUGAUAAAUCCCAACUAAGAGAAUGCCAUAGUCAGAAUUUGCAGAACCGACCUCUAUCCUAUAGAUCUCGGCCAAAAUCAGGCAAACCGGCCCAAAGUGGACAUCAUCAAAUCAAUUCCUAAAAAUUGAUUAAAAUUCAUGAAAACUCAUGAUAAAUCAUAACUAAGAGAUUCCCAUAAUCAUAUUCCAAAGAAUCAAACCAGACCAUAUAGAUCUUGAUCAAGAACAUCCCGGCCAAGGCCAUGAGCACCAUUCAUGAACUCGCCAAGGCCAUGGUUUAGUGUCAUCAAGUCUGAUCCAACAGACUACACCCUAAUCAUUCAUAAUAUAUAUAGUCCUCAAGGACAUGCCGUACUUGGCCAUAAUCAAUUCCACAGUCAACAGAAUUGUAAUUCAAAAGGUAAUCAUAAAACGGGUUACCUUAUACAUGAUCUGACUAGAUCAUGUGCCAUUCCUUAUUAUGUUCGGCCAUGCUCCUCCAAUGCACGCCUCUAUCAAUCCUUAUCAUAUACUUUCAGUAUUGAUAAGGUCCAUUAAUGGGUCGCACCCAUCCUCCCUUCCAUGGAACUCCC